CCUACGGGCGGCAGCAGUGAGGAAUAUUGGUCAAUGGGCGGAAGCCUGAACCAGCCAAGUAGCGUGCGGGAUGAAGGCCCUACGGGUCGUAAACCGCUUUUGCACGGGGAUAACACCCUCCACUUGUGGAGGUCUGCAGGUACCGUGCGAAUAAGGGCCGGCUAAUUCCGUGCCAGCAGCCGCGGUAAUACGGAAGGCCCGAGCGUUAUCCGGAUUCAUUGGGCUUAAAGGGAGCGUAGGCGGGCGUUCAAGUCAGCUGUAAAAUCGCGCGGCUCAACCGCGCCCCGCAGUUGAAACUGGACGCAUUGAGUUCACAACAGGCAGGCGGAAUUCGUGGUGUAGCGGUGAAAUGCAGAGAUAGCACGAGGAACCCCGAUUGCGAAGGCAGCCUGCCGGGGUGCGACUGACGCUGAGGCUCGAAGGUGCGGGUAUCAAACAGGAUUAGAUACCCCUGUAGUC
rnacentral:rRNA from 1 species